GGUGGAAUGUGUGUGUGUGUGUGUGUGUGUGUGUGUGCAGGCACACACACACACACACUCACAAAUUCUCUCU
rnacentral:miRNA from 1 species